AUUUAAAUAGUUUAAUAAAAAUAUUGAUUUGUGGGAUCAAAGUUAUAGGAGAUAAUUAUUUUAGAUA
rnacentral:tRNA from 1 species